rnacentral:sRNA from 2 species
AUAACGCGAUGGGAAGCGGCGCGCUUCCCGUGUAUGAUUGAACCCGCAUGGCUCCCGUAUCGUUUGGGAAGCGCUGAGGGUUCAUUUUUAU